UCUUUCAGUUUUCAUUCUCGCGAGCGUAAGUAAAGUGCGCAGUUGUAUGACAAAAACGGAAAUAAUAGAAAUUCUUCAGGUUUACAGCUCUAAAAUUAUUUAAAACGCAAUAAACAUUAAGAUUAAAUGUGAUCGCACAACUGAGUGGUGAAUUCGGUAACAAAUUUUAAGUUUAAAUGGUAGAUUUCGCAUAUUUCUCGUGAGUGACGCCACUUUUCACAUGGCAGCACACUUUGCAAUGCAGGAACCGUUACUUUUCUUUUGUGCGCGUGCUUCGUAAGUGCGCACUUGUUCGAUCUCUGUGUAUUUGUUGUUUUAACAUAACCUUACCUAACAGAACGGUUAAAAGAUAAAUUGUAAAUUUGUAUACACAUGCAUAUGAAACUCCUCGUGUUUUCGGCUUUAAAAUUGUUUAAAACGCAAUAAAGAUUUAUAUUAAAUGUGAUCGCACAAGUGCGUGGUGAAUUCGGUAUCGAAUUUUAAGUUUAAAUGGUAGAUUUCGCAUAUUUUUCGUGAGUGACGCUUCUUUUCACAUGGCAGCAAACUUUGCAAUGCAGGAACCGUUACUUUUCUUUUGUGCGCGUGUUUCGUAAGUGCGCGUGUUUCGAUCUCCGUGGAUUUGUUGUCUUAACCUAAUCUAUCUUAACCUAACGAUAAACUUAUGCAAUUCAACCAUUCUGUGCAGCGGGUCCCUCGGUCCUUUUGGACAUUCAGUGCAGAGGCGCGUUGGCAACCGCCUGCUACCUUGCCAGGACCUUCCGCCACCGCCAACAACAAGCGAGCAGGCGAACAACGGCAGCAUCCAGGGCAGCCAUCAAAAAAGGCUUUCAAUGGUAGACGAGGUCCUGCCACUGCCACCACCCACUUGCCUCGCCACUCCACUCCACUCCAUCACCCCAUCACCCCAUCACCCCAUCACCCUUCCCGCCCCGCCGCCUCCUCGUCGACCUCCGCGAACUCGCCAUCCUGCAAAGUCUACAUCCGAAGUCCUGUUGUCCGUUUUCCCGUUGCCAUGUUGGACGGCAAUGGCGAUAUUUGCUUUCCUUUCCGCCAUGAAACGGAAUGAAAUGCGAGGAGGCGGGAUGGUCAGGGGGUGGCAAAAAGGGGCUGGUAAAGGGGUUGGCCGGACUGGCCUGCGAAAUGUGGGUGGGCCGCGCACAUGGGGUGGAUAUUUCGCCAUUAUUGUAGCAAUUUUGAUCAAUGGCCCUAUAUUCCCGGCAAGCGCUGUCCGCCAACCCGAAAAGGACGAAGCAAAGGACCUACGACCUGCACACACAGCAUCCAAAUUAUUCGAGGCUUCUCGACUUUUUUCCCAGUGCCACAUGUUUCAUGACUGCCCAAGAUGUUGCCGAACUUUCGGCCAAGUGGCUUUGGGCCCGGCUUUUAGCCAGCGAGUGCAUGUAAAUGAGCGGCGAUGCGGACUGUGAGCUAGGCUUGCAUCUGAAUCUGAAUCUGAAGUUGCAACUGUCGAAUGUUCGAUGAUGAUCGCCGAUGACGCUGAUGUCUAUAAUGAUGAUUAUGAUCAUCCACCAUGAGUUGAUGAUGAUGGUGGUGGUGGUGGUGAUGAUGGCGACGUUAUUGUGCCAAGGACAUUGCACCACUUGGGACGAGGAUACAUAUUAAAAAAAAUUCAAAUUGUAAAAUGAGGCGCAGACUUUGGGAUAUUCAAUAUUCGCGGGUACAGGAAGCGGCACAUGGAUUUCAAUGCAUCUGCAGCAUUGUGUCGUGGGAAUUGAAAAGCGCCCGAAUAAAUCAAAGUGCAGUGGCUACAGACACAGACACAGACACAGAUACAGAUACAUAAACGGAUGCAGAUACAGAUACACCAAAGAUACGAGUGCAUCAUUAGCGAGCGGAUGCAGGCAUCGCUGCUCCACUCGAAUCCCCGAAUGUAAGCCAAACCAAGUCGAGAUCCAAGGCGCCCGCAAUCCAGAAAUACCGAUGGGGGG
rnacentral:lncRNA from 1 species